rnacentral:rRNA from 1 species
GAUGAACGCUGGCGGCGUGCCUAAUACAUGCAAGUCGAACGAAACUUCUUUAUCACCGAGUGCUUGCACUCACCGAUAAAGAGUUGAGUGGCGAACGGGUGAGUAACACGUGGGCAACCUGUCCAAAAGAGGGGGAUAACACUUGGAAACAGGUGCUAAUACCGCAUAACCAUAGUUACCGCAUGGUAACUAUGUAAAAGGUGGCUAUACUACCGCUUUUGGAUGGGCCCGCGGCGCAUUAGCUAGUUGGUAGGGUAAAGGCUUACCAAGGCAAUGAUGCGUAGCCGAAUUGAGAGGUUGAUCGGCCACAUUGGGACUGAGACACGGCCCAAACUCCUACGGGAGGCAGCAGUAGGGAAUCUUCCACAAUGGGCGAAAGCCUGAUGGAGCAACGCCGCGUGGGUGAAGAAGGUCUUCGGAUCGUAAAACCCUGUUGUUAGAGAAGAAAGUGCGUGAGAGUAACUGUUCACGUUUCGACGGUAUCUAACCAGAAAGCCACGGCUAACUACGUG